rnacentral:lncRNA from 1 species
GGGAGCAAACGGCAGGAUGACCAUGCCAGUUGCUCUGUCCCUUUUCCAAAGCUUUCCCAGAACUGUACCCAGAGACCCCACUCACAUCCCAGUGGCCAGACUGGAUCACAUGGCCAUUCCUACCUGCGAAGGAGGCUAAAAAAGGUGACCUUUCUAGUCUUCUGGCCUCUUCAAUAGAGGAAAGUAGAGAGAAGGGAGUUGUAAGUCUGCCCCUCCCCCACCCCGGGCGCUAAGAGAUGGGGGGUAACUCUGCAAAGCUGUCCUUCUGCCUCAAAGAUCAUUCCGCAGACACUGCUCUCUCCGUUAGAGUGUGCGGGGAAUAUUGGAAGAAAGGAAGGAUCCUUGCCCCUCCCCCAUUCACAGCAGAGCAGAACAGCAGGUUUGUCUGUUCAAAAACACAUGCCUUGGGAGUUGCUUCACUCGGGGUCAAACCUGUCUUCUCAGCAGCAAAGAUAAGGACACCAAGGCACAGAGAGGUUAAGGAAACCCUACUAAGUCAAGCUAGUAAAUGGCGGAACCUGAACUUGAAUCCACGUGGUUGGAAAUCAGAGUCCAGUGCUUACACACAAUGCUGUGCAGCAUUUUCAUGGGCAUUUACAGGUGAGGAAAAUAAGGCACAGAACCAUGAGCCAUUGAACCAUGGUCACACUGCUAACAGUGAUGAAGCCAGAAUUGGAAGCUGUUGGAAACCAAUGAACAAUUAGGAGGACAAUUGUGGUUCAAUGUACAAAGACUUGUCUCACUGGGAAAGCCACCUAACAAAGAGAUGAGCAGCCCAGUGGGGUUCUGAGUCCCCUGUGCCCAGAAACAUCCAGGAAAAGAGAUGAAAAUACUAUCUUCUAAUGCAUCCAGCUUAGGAUUCCCCGUUCUAGGGAGACUCCCCUGCUUGGGUAGGGAUUUGAUGGCCCUGCUGCUUCCUCCCCUGGUCCUCCUCUGGUCAAGGACCUCAAACUGAAAGCAGGUUAUCUUGACAUGCCCACUACUAGCUGCUGUCAUUGACGUUUGAGUUUGUUUCUAAAGGUCCCAGAUGGUUUUUGACAAUUGAAUAGCCUUUGGCUGAACCAUCAAAGCUGGUUCACGCACAUGUGGUCCUCACGCACUCAUCUGCUCAUCCAUCUGACGCUUAUUGAGCAUCUAUGAAGAGCCAGGCACUGUCUAGGUGCUAAGGAUGCAGGAGGAAGAGGAUGCAGGCCCUCCAACAGAGGCUGCUGAUGCUCCGCUCGUGAUCCACCCACCCUGGAGGUCGCUGCAGACGGGUCCCAUCCGGGCCACGGCUUCCAGCCUCUCUGUGCCCCAGAGUGCUCUCUGACCACGGCGUGCAUGGCUCAUGAGAGGAAGGGAGUCAGUGGAUAAAUGCCCAGCUUCCGUGCUCUUCAGUGGGACAAUGGGAGGUGUUCUCCUUACAGACAGUCCAUGGCUCCCCAACAGAACCGAGCCCCAGUUCUUGAAUCCACAGCAGGAACAUCAUUAAUGCUCCCUCCUAUUGUCUCUCCUCUCCUCCCUGUCUCGCUUCCUCACUCACUCACCGUGCUUCUUGGGAUCAUUUCCUUAAAGAACUACUAUCACCCAAAUCCUUGUCUCAGGAUCUGCUUUUGGGGGAACCUGUCCUCAAGGGGCUUCCGACCUCCUAGUUGGGGCAUAUGUAUUGUUACUGAGGCUGCAGAUUCACUCGAAUAAACCUCACUGAGAAAACCAGAGGCGGCUUCCUUAGGAAAGACACGCGCACCGUGUGGCUCUCCCCCCAAGUGCCUUCAGGUCAGGAUUUAACGUGGAACAAAGACAUGGGGGACGCCUGCAGGGCAAGGCCAGGCCAGCGUACGCACCGUCCAUCACCUGCACAAGAGGAGAGAAAGGACGGGAGGAGAAGGGGG